AUAUCUAUUGAACACCUACUAUGUGCCAGGAACACAUAGUAAUACAAAAGACAUGAAGGCUAUGAUCUAGUAAGAGUGUAAUUGGUACAACCUCUGAAGACGGACCUUUCAUCUAGGGAGGAGCUGAAAGCCCUUUGAAGAUGUUAAUAAGAAAGAGACCUGCUAAUUAAGAUUGCUUAAAAAUAAAAACUCAUCUUCCAGUAUGUUUACAUGAUUGCUGGGAAGGUUCUGACUCAAAGAGAUUUGCUAUCACAGGAUCUCAUUCAGGACACCACAUUACCAUUAGUCACAGUGUCUCCUCUGGCUCCUCUUGGCUGUCAGUUUCUCAGAGCGUCCUUGUUUUUAAUGGCCUUGAAUAUUUUGAAGAGUAUGGGUCAGGUGUUUUGUAGAAAGCCCUUCACUUGGGAUUUAUCUGAUGGAGUUAGAGUUUGGAGGAAAACCCCAAAGGUAAAGUGCCAUUUCCAUCACAUCCUGUCAAGAGUGCUGGUGUUAGUCAGUCAGGGCUGCCAUGGCAAUAUACCACAGACUGUGUGUUUUAAACAACAGAAAUUUGUUAUGAAGCCUGGAAAUAUAAAAUCCGCAGGGUCGGUUUAUUCUGAGGCCUCUCUCCUUGUCGUGCAGAUGGCUGCCUUCUCAUUGUGUUCUCACAUGGCUCUUUCUCCAUGCACCCACCUUCUUAGGGC
rnacentral:lncRNA from 1 species